UAAUGACAUCAUAACUUUUCGCUAAAACUCUGGCCAUAUAAGGACACAUAUGAAGACCCUCACUCCUCUUACUAUACUAUACACCCACAUUCCACACUUCCUAUGGUACAGCAUAGCAAUUUACCAUCUGUUCUUUUGAACUCGUUAGACAUAUAUUCCAAAUAUGAAUAGGAACAUGGAAUAUGUAUUAUUCUACAAUUCAC